rnacentral:rRNA from 1 species
CCCUUAGAUGUUCUGGGCCGCACGCGCGCUACACUGAAUGGAUCAACGUGUUUUCCCUUCCCGAGAGGGACGGGUAACCCGCUGAACCCCAUUCGUGGUAGGGAUCGGAGCUUGCAAUUGUUCUCCGUGAACCAGGAAUUCCCAGUAAGCGCAAGUCAUAAGCUUGCGUUGAUUACGUCCCUGCCCUUUGUACACACCGCCCGUCGCUCCUACAGAUUGAGCAGUCCGGUGAAUACUUCGGACCGUUUGCAUAGAUGGUUCGCCAUCUUUGCGAAUGGAAAGUCGAGUGAACCUUACUGCUUAGAUGAAGGAGAAGUCGUAACA